rnacentral:sRNA from 2 species
GGGGGCGGGGAGGUUCGACUCGAGCGAAGCGAGAGAACGUUGCGCCAGCAACGGCCCGCAGGGCGAGCCACGAAGUGGCGAGUAAUCCUCUAUCACCGACCA